GCCCUUGUAGCUCAGUUGGUAGAGCACCUGAUUUGUAAUCAGGGGGUCCCGAGUUCGAACCUUGGCGGGGGCA
rfam:Rhizobium sp. R1-200B2 contig_8, whole genome shotgun sequence.